rnacentral:rRNA from 1 species
UACGUAGGUGGCAAGCGUUGUCCGGAUUUAUUGGGCGUAAAGAGCUCGUAGGCGGUUCGGCAAGUCAGCUGUGAAAUCUCCACGCUCAACGUGGAGGGGUCAGCUGAUACUGCUGUGACUCGAGUCUGGUAGGGGAGUGUGGAAUUCCCGGUGUAGCGGUGAAAUGCGCAGAUAUCAGGAGGAACACCAGCGGCGAAGGCGGCGCUCUGGGCCGGUACUGACACUGAGGAGCGAAAGCGUGGGUAGCAAACAGG